rnacentral:lncRNA from 1 species
GAUAGUACAAAUAGUGAUCAUAAUUGUCAAGGAGAAAUUUGUCAUUGUAACAAUAAAGUGAAUGUAUUAACAGAAUAUCAUCAAGUAUUAGAACAAAUAGAGCAAGUACAAGAUUCCAAUAUAAAACGAAAAAUGUUUAAAAAAUUAACAAAAUUAAUUAAUGAAGAAAUAAAACAAGAAACUGCACCACCAACCAAAUUUGAAGAUAUUGAACAAAUGUUUAAAAAUAAAAAAUCAGUAACAACAAUUUCUUCCAUGGACUUACAAUCUGAAAUAAGGCAAUUAAAACUA